rnacentral:rRNA from 1 species
CAGUCGCCGCGGUAAUACGGAGGGAGUUAGUGUUGUUCGGAAUUACUGGGCGUAAAGCGCACGUAGGCGGCUUUGUAAGUCAGAGGUGAAAGCCUGGAGCUCAACUCCAGAACUGCCUUUGAGACUGCAUCGCUUGAAUCCAGGAGAGGUGAGUGGAAUUCCGAGUGUAGAGGUGAAAUUCGUAGAUAUUCGGAAGAACACCAGUGGCGAAGGCGGCUCACUGGACUGGUAUUGACGCUGAGGUGCGAAAGCGUGGGGAGCAAACAGGAUUAGAUACCCGUGUAGUCCCUGUCUCUUAUAC